CACCAGAGGAGUGAGGAGAAACACGCAGGCUGUGAAGAUUUUCUUCUGUCGUUGUCCCUGCUAUUCUUUACAAAAUGCUGCAGAACUCCUGAAGCUCUUGAGUGCAUGCCCGUCCCCACGUGCAUCCCACAGUGGUGAUUUCUCCAUCAUUUAAGACUGAGCUCUACCAUGUCCUCCCAAAAGUCUGAAUGCUGCACCCUGUCUAUCAAGGGACUGCUGCCUCACCCUGCUUACAUGGAAGGCAUAACCUUCUCAGGAAACUCAGAACUUUCUGGAACAUCCACUGUCUUGCUGUGCACCCAGGAGCUCAGGCCAGAGUCCUUCCAGCCCUCCAGCCAGGGCUCUGUGGAUGUUGCGAUUUGCUGUCUGCCCUGCCUCAAGACCCAGACACUUACUCUCUCAGCUGCCAAGAUGUGGACUGCUGCUACCUCAGAGCUGAAAUCUCUUAGAAAAAUAAGUCAGAAUGGGUGAGAGCAUUAUAUAUAGAGUUCCACAGUCUG